GGGCCCGCACAAGCGGUGGAGUAUGUGGUUUAAUUCGAUGCAACGCGAAGAACCUUACCAGGGUUUGACAUCCUGCGAAUCUCUUGGAAACGAGAGAGUGCCUUCGGGAACGCAGUGACAGGUGGUGCAUGGCUGUCGUCAGCUCGUGUCGUGAGAUGUUGGGUUAAGUCCCGCAACGAGCGCAACCCACGUCUUUAGUUGCCAGCAUUUAGUUGGGCACUCUAGAGAGACUGCCGGUGAUAAACCGGAGGAAGGUGUGGAUGACGUCAAGUCAUCAUGCCCCUUACAUCCUGGGCUACACACGUACUACAAUGCUACGGACAAAGAGCAGCAAGUUCGCGAGGACAAGCAAAUCUCAUAAACCGUGGCUCAGUUCAGAUCGUAGGCUGCAACUCGCCUACGUGAAGGAGGAAUCGCUAGUAAUCGUGGAU
rnacentral:rRNA from 1 species